GCACUAGCCUGCUGUGCGUUUCCCUUGGACUGGCAAAAAUAAAGCUGCUCUUGUCUAUUUCCUCCACAAACUCAGUCUCCACCUCUCUCUCUGGCAUCGGUAGACAGAGCCAAGAUUCUGGCAACAGAACCAGUCCAGCAGGCGAAGAGCUAGUGGAGGCGGCCCCCGCAGGCAGCUCGCCUCUGCGGGGCCCACAGGAAGCAUCGCCCGUGUCCAUCACUGCACCCCUCUGUCCUUUCCCACCCCUUGGCUUUUUCUCCCGUGAUUGUGGAGCCCGCAGGAUAAUCCUAGGUCACCUCCAGGCUCCGAGAGGUCCAUGGCUCCCUAUGACAAUCACUGUUGUGAGACAGAAAGGGGACAGGAACCAAGGACGUUUCAGGCCAACUGACCCAGGACAGGCCCCCAGACUCUCUGGACUGCAAUGACUUAGGAUCGUCAGAAGUGCCAAACCCAAGUUCGUUUACCCUGUCCCCAAGCCCGCUGUGACGACGUUACAGUUCGCCAGCUCAGGUCCACCGGGGAGCCUUGCCCCCUCUGCCCAGAUGACCCUGGGCCCCUCCCUCCCUCCAUCAGCAGGCAGCCUCUCCCAGCUUCCCUGUGGCCUUGGGGACAGCCGCUCACCCUUGGAGGUAAGAGGGGCAUCAGGGAGAAUCUGUGUCCUCACCUAACAUGCAGUUGCCCCAAGGGCAGUUCACACCACACUGUCUUACAGGAGUAGUGAGCAUUACUAAAAGCCACUAGAGGAAAUGCUGGCCAACUCUAACAUGAAAGUGAGCUUCACAGUGGGACUGUCGGACUUCAGGUCCUAGGCUGACUGAAGUGAGUACGGUUGCCGUUCUGUUUAGUGCUUUGUAGAGGGUUUUUGUUGCGAAGAGUUUGAGGGAAGAGCAAACGAGAUGCCACCCGCAUGCCUGCAGGUGGCCCUCAUCACCUGCCCCAUACGUAGGACCUGCACUCUUUGGUAAGGAGCGACUCAAGACACCUGUUCUGAGUGAAGGACCACUGAUCUCGAAGGAUCUUGAAGCUGCCCCAAGAGCCCAUUUAGCUCUCACGGCCAGCUGGCUGUCACUCUGAUGGCUAAGGCCUCCUCCUCCCUGGGUCUAACACGAGACUCUUCAAAAGGUUAAAGGUGCAGGCCUGAGCCGUUCAUUCACCUACACCAGGCAACACUUAGAGAGACAGCUAACAACUGCGUGCCGGGAUGGCAAGCGGCAUCUUGUUUUAUGGAGAAGGAAGAGAGAGACUUGGAAGGUAGAACUGAGGACCCAGAGGACGUAGCAGCUGGGAGAGGGCUCUGCAAACCUUUCCUGCGCUACCACGGUGGCCCUGGAGUCCUCCUAAGACAGACCACAUACAUGUUUAAGGAUACAAGACUCAAAGGAAGAGCCCCCUACAACCACCCAGGAAAUGUUGCUUCCUGCUCUUGAAAGCCAACACCAAACAGAGCUGAUGUGCCGUGAACAUAGGUGGCUCAGAUG
ensembl:lncRNA